GGAAGCUCCAUAGACAUCCAUUAAGCAAUGUACUGUAAAGGUGUGUUGAUGAUCGAGAUCACUACAGACAGACAUAGGCUGGACCACAGAUCACAGCACCUCCUUCAUUUCUUAACAAAGAUCGGCGGAGAAGCGGCGGAGUCAGCGGCUUCACGGCUUCUCCUCCGCCGAGCUGAGUCGAGGAAUGAAUGAAUGAAUGAGCGAGCGAGUGAAGGCGGGAAGGCGUUGAACCACUGAACUCUAUAACUGGAAUGGCCCCGAUCGCUUGCUGCGCAUUGGAGGCUUGAAGCCACCGGAAGUAUAGAAGUCGCCAUGUUGUUUCACCCAAAACAAGAAAGCCGCACAACUAAGAGGAGUUCGAGAUGCCGUCUUGUGCUGCUAUUAAUUGCACAAAUCGUGAUACUCGUGAAAAUCGCGAGAAGGGACUUACAUUUCACAGAUUUCCACACUGCAAUGCUCAACUUCUAAAGCAAUGGCUAGUAAAUAUGCGGAGAGACAGGUGGAUUCCUGCAGCCAGAUCGCAACUCUGUUCAAGUCAUUUCACCGAGGAGAACUUCGACAGGACCGGCCAGACUGUUAGACUAGGACAAAAUGCAGUUCCAACAAUAUUUGACUUUACUGAUCAUCUUCAAAAGCAGGGGUCUCAAACUCAGUUUACCCGGGGGCCACUGGAGGUAGUCUGGGUGAGGCUGGGCCUCAGCAAGUAUUGGGAGUAAGGCUCACGAUAACGAUAAUAUCUAUAACGAUAUCGCGUAUGCUGCAGGAAACACGUUCAGCAUGUUAGCUCACUUAAAGCGGCAUCAUUCGGCAGUGAACGUUACAGCUACAAGAAAGAAUACCUUAGUUAGCUUAGUGCUAACACCGAUAACGUCGGCAUAUAAACAACCUCUAGCAAACAAAUCUGACCGGGCCAAAGCAGUAACACGUGGUAUUGGAGUUUGUAUAGCCACGAGAUUACGACCACGUUCAGUUGUUGAGAGCGCUGGCUUUAAGGACAGUCAUGGAACAAAUGAUUAGACCACCCUCGUUUCUCCAGUUUCAUUUUCAUUUUAAUGCCUGAUACAACUACAGGUACCUUUGUUUGGACAAAUAUAACAAUAACAACAAAAAAUAGCUCAUAACCGUUCGAUUUUUUGGCAGUACAAUGCUAUAGCUAUUCAUGUUAGCAAUUUGGUUAUUAUCAAGAAAAGCAUGGAAGUUGCUGGAUAUCAGCUCUUAAAUUAAACUCUUAUGAGUUAUAUUUGUUAUCAUCAUAUUUGUCCAAACAAAUGUACCUUUAGUUGUACCAGACAUUACAAUGGAUCAAUAAACUGAGGAAACAAGGCUGGUCUAAUCAUUUUUUCCAUGACUGUACAUGAUUACAGUUCUUGUACCUCGCUACAAAAUACCAUCACGUCCUCACUUUAGCCAGAAAGUUAUACCAGCACUUUAUGAAAAAGCUAAUUAAUUGUCCAUAGGUAUGAAUGAGAGUGUGAAUGGUUGUCUGUCUAAAUGUGCCCUGCCAUUGGCUGGCGACCAGUCCAGGGUGUACCCCGCCUGUCGCCCCAAGUCAGCUGGGAUGGGCUCCAGCAUGCCCCAGCUACCCUAUUGAGGAUAAGCGGUAUAGAAAAUGGAUGGAUGGACAGAUGGUUGGACUUCACGUGCAACAGACAGAUUUAACUAACUGUCCAUUACAUUUCACUAAGUCUAAUUGGUCGCUUUUAUUUAUUUUAAAAAAUGUGUUUGCAUUUUUUUAAAUAAAAGCACUUUAAGACAUUUUUUAUGCCUUUUUUUGUGCCGAAAAUGACCCACUUCAAGAAACUGAACCGAACCAAAAUGACAUAUUAGUGUACCGUUCCACCCCUAGUAUUUACUUACCUGUUACAUGAUGUGCUGUCAUUUCGUGUGUGUGCGUUAGCACCACGAUUGUAGGCAGUGUUCUGUUUCGUGACCCCCAUUUCGCCAUGUGACUCUUAGUUCCGUGGUAGGUUAUGCUUUCACCCUGUGAGCAUCAUUGGCUUAACUUAGAGCUUGCGGGCCGCAUUUACAGUAGUCUUUCCUGUCAAGUCACGGGCCGCAAAAUCUGACUUGGCGGGCCGCAAACGGCCUGCGGGCCGCGAGUUUGAGACCACUGGUCUAGGAGUUUGUCGUUGGCAGAAAAUGCACCGCCGCUGGAUUCACCAAACGUGGAGUUCCUCGAGCCACGCUUUGCCAUGCCCAGUUGCGAGUAUUUCUCAGAUGUUUGCUUACUGUUGUACAGUGUUGUUUACAGCCACGUCGAGAAGCUAAUUGCUGAUGGUGUAACCAUUAGCUUCACAACAGAUAUGUGUUAAUUCCACCACAGGAGAUAUGUGACGUUACACAUAUCGGUAUCGUUUGAUAUCGUAAUCGAAAAUUGAAGGUUGGACAAUAUUGGCAUAUCGGAUGUUGGCAAAAAAAAAAGCUAGUUAUUUUUCUUCAUAAUGUAGCGUUAUUCUCGUAAGACGUUUUCUGGUUGGAUUAUUACUUUUUUCUCUUAAAAUUAUGACUUUAUUCUCGGAAAAUUGUUUUUGUUUUUUUUGUUUUUCAUUUUCCAACAAUUUCAACUUUUUUUCAUGUAAAGUUUUCCAAAAAUGACAACUUUGUUUUGUUUAUUUUUCAUAAUAUUACAACUUAAAAUGAUGUUAUUUUUCUUCAUAAUGUAAUAACGUUAUUCCCGUACAACUUUUACUGUUGGAUUAGAACUUUUUUCUAUGAAUAUUAUGACCUCAUUCUUGGAAAAUUACAGCCGAUUUUUCCAUUUUGUUUGUUCUCAUAAUAUCACGACUUUAAAAAAAUGUUUUUAAUAUUCAAAUUAAAGCGACCAAAAGUAUGUUAUUUUUCCUUUUAAUAUUAGGAUGUUAUUGUCAUAAAAUAUUGGCUUUUUCGUGUUAGUUCGCAACUUCUUAUUAGAAUAUUUUGGCUUUAUUCUUGUAGAAUGACUGCAGAUUUUUUCAUUUUUGCUGUUUUGUAGUAUUCUUGUUAUAGUCAAUUUUUUAGAAUGUGCCAUGGGCCCGAAAUGGACCCCGGGGCGCACCUUGGACACCCCAGCAAUACGCUUUGCACCGGGAGAAGACUUGCUUGUAUAUUGCAUUUGUACGUUCAUGCUUUUGGAGUUGUAUUUUGUGAAAUAAACGUUUUUUUGGUCAAGUGCAUGCAAGUGGCCCAAUCAUUUUCUCCACAAAUAGCCAGUAUAGUUUUUAAAAGUAAAAAUUCUGAAGACGUACCUGGAAUGAUGUGAUUCAUGAAUGACAACAUUACGCUAUGUUUGUCAUCCAGAAAGUGUAACAUGCCCCCAGCGCCGAUGCGGUGUUCUUAACGGUGACAAACGCUACAAAAAAUGCAGCAGUGAGUAUUGCUGACAGCUUUAAUGACAAUAGCGCAUAAACAGGAAGAAGCAGACGACGUGGUUGGCAUCUCAGCGAGCCCAUCCGUCUUAGAGGCACGUGGCCGUUUCCUUGGAGGGGCACAUUUGGCCGAAGCAGAUCUCCUUGAAGCCGGUCGCCUUGGUCAUCCCGCUGGCUGUAUGGUUGUAGAGGAGGCAGUAGUCGUUGGGGCUGCUGGCGGUGGUGUUGACUGAGGAGCUGCUAGACGCCUGCCAGGGAAGGACACAAGGAUGGAGGGUUUUCAUGUACGUCCACAAGAACUUUGGGGAGGACGGUGGGCUGAACUGGAAGGUGAUUUGGUUGGUUUUGUUGGUGUUGGGCGACGUGUGCGUCAUCUGGAGGACGGAGGGCGAGUACUUCACAAACUAAACAACACAACAACACAACUUGUCACACAACAACUUUCUUGCACUCCCUUGGAGCACAUUGUCACGUAUCACUAACUGUAACUAAAUGUGUUUAUUAUUUUGUAUUUUUAAUCUUGCAGACAGAAAUACAUUUGCAUACUGUGAUCAACUUUGUAUUUUUUAAGUAUUGUUAUACUUUGAAUGUUGAUGAACUGUUUAUAUUUAUUACUAUUUCUGUAUAGUUACAUUUUUGGUAUUAUAAUUAUUUACAGAGUGCACAGAAUGAUAUAAUUUUCUACACAGGGUAAAUUUAGUUGCUGAAACACAUGUUACACCUUAAGAUUGUGACCUUUAGUUGCAAUAUUCUAAAUAAUUCCAUUGCAGGGCUUAAGUAAGUAGAAGUGGGUUUUUUUGUUUCAAAAAAAGGUAGGAAUAAAGGACCAAAUAGUGUCAACUGGGCUUUGACAAUAUAUACUGAAUUUAACAAGUACGUAUUAAAUAUCCAUAUUCCCCAUGCAUUAUUUUUUUCAACAUAUUUUUCAUAUUUUGCACAAAUUGGCAUCUUUGACAUAUUUUUUUUGGUCCACAUGAAUUACAAAAUGGAAUCAUUUAUGAAGUUGUCCAUGAUGACAUUAUUAUUCUCAGCGCUGAACGGCAGCAGGAAGGUGAAGGCGGCGAGCAGAGUUGGGUUCAUGGUGGCUUUUGGUUGCAGAGUCAGUGCCAGGGCGAGGGCGGGACGUGCUUCUGGGCUUUAUGGAGCAAAUUUAUUCAAGCCCCGCCUCCCAAGGGAUCACUGCACUUUCACCACGAAAUGCAGCGAGACGGAUGGAGGCGUCAGCGUCACAUUGCCUCUUCUCGUCCAUGCUGCCUCGAUAGCACAAGUGUGAACAACUUCCUGGAAGAUAGUGGUGUGGUUUUAUUUGAUUGGUCCUCCGUGACGUGCUCUGUAUGAGUAUGAAAUCAGCAAAUCGGUCACGCACACCGCCAUUACUUUGUACAUACAUGGUGUUUUCCCCCUUCCUGAUUUAUUUAUUUGCACAUUUCAGAAUAUCAAACUAAUUGAAGUGUUAGUCAAUGGCAUCACAACUGAACACAAACUGCAGUUUUUAAAUGAAACUUAUUCAGGGAGAAAAAAA